rnacentral:rRNA from 1 species
GCACAGUAAACGAUGAAUACUUGCUUUCGGCGAUACAAUGUCGGAGGCAAAGCGAAAGCGAUAAGUAUUCCACCUGGGGAGUACGCCGGCAACGGUGAAACUCAAAGGAAUUGACGGGAGCCCGCACAAGCGGAGGAACAUGUGGUUUAAUUCGAUGCUACGCGAGGAACCUUACCCGGGCUUGAAAGUUAGCGACGGAGGUGGAAACACUUCUUCCCUUCGGGGCGCGAAACUAGGUGCUGCAUGGUUGUCGUCAGCUCGUGCCGUGAGGUGUCGGCUUAAGUGCCAUAACGAGCGCAACCCUUUUCUCCAGUUACCAUCAUUAGGUUGGGGACUCUGGAGACACUGCCAUCGUAAGAUGCGAGGAAGGAUGGGAUGACGUCAAAUCAGCACGGCCCUUACGUCCGGGGCGACACACGUGUUACAAUGGGCAGGACAGAAAGGAACGAAGUGGCGACACCGAGGGAAUCUCCAAACCUGCUCCCAGUUCGGAUUGGAGUCUGCAACCCGACUCCAUGAAGCUGGAUUCGCUAGUAAUCGCGCAUCAGCCAUGGCGCGGUGAAUACGUUCCCGGGCCUUGUACACACCGCCCGUCAAGCCAUGAAAGCCGGGGGUACCUGAAGUCUGGUGUAAGCAGCCGGCCUAGGGUAAAACUGGUAAUUGGGGCU